rnacentral:rRNA from 1 species
AGUGAACGCUGGCGGCGUGCUUAACACAUGCAAGUCGAACGAGAACGGAUUAUAGCUUGCUAUAAUUGUCAGCUAAGUGGCGCACGGGUGAGUAAUGUAUAGGUAAUAUGCCUCUUACUAAGGGAUAACAAUUGGAAACGAUUGCUAAUACCUUAUAUGCCUUUAAGACUAAAGUCUGCGAGGGAAAGAUUUAUUGGUAAGAGAUUAGCCUGUAUUGUAUCAGCUAGUUGGUGAGGUAAUGGCUCACCAAGGCUAUGACGCAUAACUGGUUUGAGAGGAAGAUCAGUCACACUGGAACUGAGACACGGUCCAGACUCCUACGGGAGGCAGCAGUGGGGAAUAUUGCACAAUGGACGAAAGUCUGAUGCAGCAACGCCGCGUGGAGGAUGACACAUUUCGGUGCGUAAACUCCUUUUAUAUAGGAAGAUAAUGACGGUACUAUAUGAAUAAGCACCGGCUAACUCCGUGCCAGCCGCCGCAGUAA